UACAGAGGUCUCAAGCGUUGUUCGGAUUCAUUGGGCGUAAAGGGUGCGUAGGCGGCGCGGUAAGUCGGGUGUGAAAUCUCGGGGCUUAACUCCGAAACUGCAUUCGAUACUGCCGUGCUUGAGGACUGGAGAGGAGACUGGAAUUCAUGGUGUAGCAGUGAAAUGCGUAGAUAUCGAGAGGAACACCUGCGGCGAAGGCGGGUUGCUGGGCUGACACUGACGCUGAGGCGCGAAAGCCAGGGGAGCGAACGGG
rnacentral:rRNA from 1 species